UAUUGAUGAAGACAGAUAUUCCUGGCUUAGU
rnacentral:piRNA from 2 species